rnacentral:rRNA from 1 species
UUAUCCCUACGGGGGGCAGCAGUGGGGAAUAUUGCACAAUGGGGGAAACCCUGAUGCAGCGACGCCGCGUGAAGGAAGAAGUAUUUCGGUAUGUAAACUUCUAUCAGCAGGGAAGAAAAUGACGGUACCUGACUAAGAAGCCCCGGCUAACUACGUGCCAGCAGCCGCGGUAAUACGUAGGGGGCAAGCGUUAUCCGGAUUUACUGGGUGUAAAGGGAGCGUAGGCGGUUUAGCAAGUCAGAAGUGAAAGCCCGGCGCUCAACUCAGGGACUGCUUUUGAAACUGUUUAACUAGUAUGCAGGAGG